UUUGAAAUCUAGUAGCCUUCGGCUGCUCGAGUUGUAAUCUAGAGAAGUGUUUUCCGUGCCGGCCCAUGUACAAGUCCCUUGGAACAGGGCGUCAUAGAGGGUGAGAAUCCCGUCCUUGACAUGGACCCCCGGUGCUCUGUGAUACACUUUCAACGAGUCGAGUUGUUUGGGAAUGCAGCUCAAAAUGGGUGGUGAAUUCCAUCUAAAGCUAAAUAUUGGCGAGAGACCGAUAGCGAACAAGUACCGUGAGGGAAAGAUGAAAAGCACUUUGGAAAGAGAGUUAAACAGUACGUGAAAUUGUUGAAAGGGAAACGAUUGAAGUCAGUCAUGCUCUUUGGUAUUUAUAUCAUUGAGUGGGGUCAACAUCAGUUUUGAGCGAUGGAUAAAGGCACUAGGAAGGUAGCACUCUCGGGUGAACUUAUAGCCUAGCGUCAUAUACAUUGUUUGGGACUGAGGAA
rnacentral:rRNA from 1 species